UACCAGUAAGCCAUCUGAUUUCCCAGUAAGCCAUCCUGGGCUUUUCUUUGUUGAAAGCUUUUUGAUUGCUGAUUUUCAUUUUCUUCAUUUGUUGUUUGUCUGUUCAGGCUUUGUAUUUCUUCUUGAUUCAGGUCUUUGUAAGUUGUACAUUUCUGGGAUAUUUCCAUUUCUUCUAGGUUGUCCACCUUGUUUGCAUAUAAUUGUUCAUACUAGCCCCUUCUGAUCCCUUUCAUUUCUAUGCCCUCUGUUGUAAGGUUGUCUUUCUCAUUUCUGACUGUAUUUAUUUGUAUCUUCUUCCUUUUCUUAAAAGGUUUGUUGAUUUUGUUUAUCUUUUCAAAAAACCAACUCUUACUUUCAAUGAUUUUUUUUCCCAUUGUUUUUCAACUCUCUUUUUUAAAAAUGUAUUUUGCUCUUGGAGUUUUUGCUCUACUUUAAACAGCUUACUAAAGUCAUUUUACUAUUAACAAAUACAAGGCUCUUUCAAAAGCUCCUAUAGGGAAUACAAAAUUUCCCCAUCUCCUUAUACCAGAAAACAAAGUUAUUUACAAUUCAUCUUAAGUCUCUUAAUGAUCUCAAGGGUCUUCUGAAAGAGAUUGCUAAUAAAAUCAAAUAAAACUGUAUGAACUCUAAUGGAGAAAAAUCUAAUUAUAGCAAGGUGAGUCAUUCUAAUAGCUUUUUACUUUGCUCU
rnacentral:lncRNA from 1 species